UACGGAGGGGGCUAGCGUUGUUCGGAAUUACUGGGCGUAAAGCGCACGUAGGCGGCUUUGUAAGUUAGAGGUGAAAGCCCAGGGCUUAACCCUGGAAUUGCCUUUAAGACUGCAUCGCUCGAAUUGUGGAGAGGUGAGUGGAAUUCCGAGUGUAGAGGUGAAAUUCGUAGAUAUUCGGAAGAAACACCAGUGGCGAAGGCGACUCACUGGACACAUAUUGACGCUGAGGUGCGAAAGCGUGGGGAGCAAACA
rnacentral:rRNA from 1 species